UUUUUGGUUAAUUUUUUUACUAGAGGAAAAUCUUUUAAAUUGUUCAGGCAAUAUUCGGCAACACUGAUAUUCCUCGUAUAGAGGUGGUUAAACAUCAAUAUAGUUCAAUGUUCCCCCAGGAAGAGGGUGAGUCUACGGCGCAAUCUGAAGAUCCUGCUCGCGAUAAUAAUUUCAAGGAACCUGAGGUGGAUAUGUUGAGAAAUCAGAAGGAUGAUGAUUUAGAGAGAUAUAGGAAUAUUUCAAAAUAUAAUUUAUAUUCUGA